UGUUUAGGAUGACUCAGGGUUAAACUGUCAACCCUGAUUAGAUCAUCCGAAUCGUGCUCAACUCAAACAGUCCUGUGACUCCUCACUAGGACUAUCCUGACCAAAAUUUUUCUAAAUUGAAACACGACUGUACACAGCUCCUGAACUGGAGUGGUCAAUUCAUUCUUGACACACGCACUGACAAGUCAAGUACUUGACUACACCCAGCAUCCUUCCGUCACUGAAUUAGAAAUUCAGAUAGUCCAGUGCCUAAGUGCAGUGAGUUACUUGCAAGUCAUCGUGACGGU
rnacentral:lncRNA from 1 species